rnacentral:rRNA from 1 species
AUUGAACGCUGGCGGCAUGCCUUACACAUGCAAGUCGAACGGCAGCACGGGAGCUUGCUCCUGGUGGCGAGUGGCGAACGGGUGAGUAAUGCAUCGGAACGUGCCCUGAAGUGGGGGAUAACGUAGCGAAAGUUACGCUAAUACCGCAUAUUCUGUGAGCAGGAAAGCAGGGGAUCUUCGGACCUUGCGCUUUUGGAGCGGCCGAUGUCGGAUUAGCUAGUUGGCGGGUAAAGGCCACCAAGGCGACGAUCCGUAGCGGGUCUGAGAGGAUGAUCGCCACACUGGAACUGAGACACGGUCCAGACUCCUACGGGAGGCAGCAGUGGGGAUUUUGGACAAUGGGCGCAAGCCUGAUCCAGCCAUGCCGCGUGAGUGAAGAAGGCCUCGGUUGUUAAAGUACGUACUUUCGGUUCGGGGUAAGGUAAAAGUUUAAGGUACGUUU